ACGAGCGUGUAAUAACACUCGAAACCAUAGCGAACCUACCAGUGGGAUGUAUCGUUGCCUCGGCGGGCGGCCCCAGGGGGGGCCCGCGGCCCUACGGUGCCCGCCGGAGCUACAAAACUCUAGCUGUCUUAGUAACCUUCUGAGGAACAAGCAAAUAAAGUUA
rnacentral:misc_RNA from 1 species